UCCCAGAUGGUUCAGUGGUAAAGAAUCUGCCUGCCAAUGCAGAAGACACAGGUUCAAUCCCUGGAUUGGGAA
rnacentral:tRNA from 1 species